AAAUCACCAUCACAGUUUAUCAGGUUUAGAACAGGGGAUUGUGGAGGACAAACACUUCUGCUGUUUAGGACAAUUCCAUGCGUGUCCCAUAAUUGUUUUAUUUUAAUGUCUUUAAUAUUAAUCCACAAUGUAGAAAAUAUAUUAAAUAAAAAAAUUGAAAUUGUUGAGGAGUCUCCAAGCUUUUGACUGGUACUGUAUUUGUUUUCUCUGAUUAAAUGUAUCCCUGCACUUACAAUGCUGUUGUGCAAGUGUGUUAAUUUGCACGAUGGGUGUCAUUGAAAUGUCAGUGGCAUAUUUUUUUCAAAAAUUAAAAAAAAUUAAGUUGAGAGGAUAUUGCCCAUCCUGACUGUUGGUUUUUUAUUCUUGGCCUCUCUAGGUAUAGACAGAGCUGUAUAUGGGUCUGUACUGAACAACCUGAUGGAGCUAAGGAAUACACCAAACCCCCCAACCCAGAAAAAACACAAGUAUUGUAGCGAAGACCUUCAGCUAUUAACAUUUGACCAUGGUGUAGCGAGAGAGGGUAUUGAACAACCUGUUGGAGAUCAUAAACACCAAGCACCCCCUAGACUCUCCUGGAGAACACAGGUACUGUGCUUAAACAUAAUACACAUCAGUAAUAUACUGCUUGGUUUUUAUUUAUACAACAUCCACAUCCAUGAUGAACUACAUAAGACAUUCGAAUCCUGAAUCCUAUGUGGAACAUUAAGUUCUGAUUGACUGUGGCAACAGGUGCAUUGUGGGUUAUGUUUCUAUGAUAGAGCACAAUUGUUAAUACCCUGUCUCCUCCAUUCCUGCAACAGCCAAGACCAUCGGCCGUUAACAUUAUUUGACCUUGGUGAGUUUGUACCCUCCUCUUUCCCUUCUAAUAAAUAUUUUAAAUUGCACCCA
rnacentral:lncRNA from 1 species